rnacentral:lncRNA from 1 species
GUCACGUAAAGCGGGGGUUUCCCCGCAGAGCUUGAUCACUGAUUAUAAGAUACGUUCUGAUGGACAGAUAUAUGAACGGUGGAAUAUGUGAUUAUGUUGUGUGAUGUGCAUAGAUGUGAUACGAUGUGGGGGAUUAACACGGGAUGGGGUUUCUGUGCAUUGAUCCGUGAACAAAAGGUUUAGCUGCGUACUCACCUGUUGCAUGUGUCUUCCGGGAACGUGGGAAGCAAAUGGGGAUGCAGGGCUGAGAAUGAUUAUCUGUGUUUAUUUCGCGCUCUGCGAGGGUAGUGCUCAUUGGGGCAGGGGUGUUCCUAGUGUGUCUAAAUAAGUCUUUGAUAAAGUGUUAAAUGGCAUAGUUAAUAGUAAAACAUGCAGGUACAUAUGCAAUGUGUUAUGCCAGUAUGUGUGUAAGGAGAGAAGACCGUGCGAAACGGCUAAUUGAUUAAUGCACGUUUAAUGGUAACGACCAGCUGUUUAAAUGCGUGCCGCACAGCUCAGUUGGGGAAAGGUUGCUGACGCGAGCAGACCUAAGUUGAUGGUUGUAUGAAACCAGGUGAAUAGUUAAGUGGGCAUUGUCCCGGUGUUAGGUCUGCUCACAUCAGCAACCUAAGUUGAUGGUUGUGUGAAACCAGGUGAAGAGCUAAGUGGGCAUUGUCCCGGUGUUUGUUUUUAUUUUGCAUUCAGUGUUUUGUUUGUUUGUGUUGUCUGUUAAACCUGCUGGUAACUUAUAAGAAAAUAAAAAAAAUAAAACAUUUUGGAGGUACUGUGUUGCCUUUCAUCCAUCCCUUAAGUCUGACCAAACCAACCGCUCGGGCACACUCCUUUACAUUUGCACUGUCUGUUAUAUCUAUAGCUAUGUGCUGUGGGUCAGGAAGCAGAAGGUGAGAGCAGGGUGCAAGAUGCAUAACUUGCAGAAGUAUGUGCUGGCUCGGGAUGCAGGGAGGAAGGAUGAGCCAGUUCAUCGUCUCCCACAUCCAGGCGCUGCUGCAUCUUUGGACCCUGCUGGUACAUCUGAUGCUGACCUUUCUGCCACUGCAAUGGAGGUCGACUCGUUGUGAGUGCACGUUAUUACGAAAACCAAAUGAU